rnacentral:rRNA from 1 species
UAAUACCCCAUAGAUUAGGGAUACUGGAAUGCCCCCUAGUUCAAAGGUCCGCCGCCACAGGAUGGGUCUGCGGCCGAUUAGGUUGUUGUUGGGGUAACGGCCCAACAAGCCAUUGAUCGGUACGGGUUGUGGGAGCAAGAGCCCGGAGAUGGAUUCUGAGACACGAAUCCAGGCCCUACGGGGCGCAGCAGGCGCGAAAACUUUACAAUGCGAGAAAUCGUGAUAAGGGAACCCCGAGUGCCCGUAAAUUCGGGCUGUCCGUCAGUGUAAAUAACUGGCGAAGAAAGGGCCGGGCAAGACCGGUGCCAGCCGCCGCGGUAAUACCGGCGGCUCGAGUGGUGGCCGCUAUUACUGGGCUUAAAGCGUCCGUAGCUGGGUUGUUAAGUCUCCUGGGAAAUCCACCGGCUCAACCGAUGGGCGUUCAGGAGAUACUGGCAACCUAGGGACCGGGAGAGGUGAGAGGUACUCCAGGGGUAGGAGUGAAAUCCUGUAAUCCUUGGGGGACCACCUGUGGCGAAGGCGUCUCACCAGAACGGCUCCGACAGUGAGGGACGAAAGCUGGGGGAGCAAACCGGAUUAGAUACCCGGGUAGUCCCAGCUGUAAACGAUGCGCGUUAGGUGUAUCGGUGACCACGAGUCACCGAGGUGCCGAAGAGAAAUCGUGAAACGUGCCGCCUGGGAAGUACGGUCGCAAGGCUGAAACUUAAAGGAAUUGGCGGGGGAGCACCACAACGGGUGGAGCCUGCGGUUUAAUCGGACUCAACGCCGGGAAGCUCACCGGAUAAGACAGCUGGAUGAUAGCCGGGCUGAAGACUCUGCUUGACUAGCUGA